rnacentral:rRNA from 1 species
GCCAGGCUUCGGCCUGGUGGAAAGUGGCAGACGGGUGAGGAACACGUGGGAAUCUGCCCAGUGGUACGGAAUAACUUCGGGAAACCGGAGCUAAUGCCGUAUACGCCCUUCGGGGGAAAGAUUUAUCGCCAUUGGAUGAGCCCGCGUCGGAUUAGCUUGUUGGUAGGGUAACGGCCUACCAAGGCGACGAUCCGUAGCUGGUCUGAGAGGAUGAUCAGCCACACUGGGACUGAGACACGGCCCAGACUCCUACGGGAGGCAGCAGUGGGGAAUAUUGCACAAUGGGCGCAAGCCUGAUGCAGCCAUGCCGCGUGAGUGAAGAAGGCCUUAGGGUUGUAAAACUCUUUCACCGGUGAAGAUAAUGACGGUAGCCGGAGAAGAAGCCCCGGCCAACUCCGUGCCAGCAGCCGCGGUAAUACGGAGGGGGCUAGCGUUGUUCGGAAUUACUGGGCGUAAAGCGCACGUAGGCGGAUUGGUAAGUUGGGGGUGAAAUCCCAAGGCUCAACCUUGGAACUGCCCUCGAAACUGCCAGUCUUGAGUCCGGAAGAGGUGAGUGGAAUUCCUAGUGUAGAGGUGAAAUUCGUAGAUAUUAGGAAGA